GAUGAACGCUGGCGGCGUGCCUAAUACAUGCAAGUCGAGCGAACGGACGAGAAGCUUGCUUUUCUGAUGUUAGCGGCGGACGGGUGAGUAACACGUGGAUAACCUACCUAUAAGACUGGGAUAACUUCGGGAAACCGGAGCUAAUACCGGAUAAUAUUUUGAACCGCAUGGUUCAAAAGUGAAAGACGGUCUUGCUGUCACUUAUAGAUGGAUCCGCGCUGCAUUAGCUAGUUGGUAAGGUAACGGCUUACCAAGGCAACGAUGCAUAGCCGACCUGAGAGAGUGAUCGGCCACACUGGAACUGUAACACGGUCCAGACUCCUACGGGAGGCAGCAGUAGGGAAUCUUCCGCAAUGGGCGAAAGCCUGACGGAGCAACGCCGCGUGAGUGAUGAAGGUCUUCGGAUCGUAAAACUCUGUUAUUAGGGAAGAACAUAUGUGUAAGUAACUGUGCACAUCUUGACGGUACCUAAUCAGAAAGCCACGGCUAACUACGUG
rnacentral:rRNA from 1 species